UUGGAUUUGUCUUAUGGAACUUUGUGUCAGAAAGCCAUAGAAGAGCUUCUUUCUUGUUGCACUCACCUUACACGUGUGAGUUUAAACGGAUGUGUGAAUAUGCAUGAUUUAAACUGGGGGCACAGUCAAGGGAAGUUUCCUGAGUUACCUGGCAUAAGCAUCCUAUCCAUCGCAAGUUCCUACGAAAACAAUCAUGUGUCAAGUGAGCAACCCAUCCGAUUACUUCAGAACCUCAACUGUGUGGGUUGUCCAAAUAUUAGGAAGGUUUUCAUUCCAUCAACAGCACACUGUUCCCAUUUAUUAUUUUUAAACCUUUCACUGUCGGCUAAUUUGAAGGAAGUUGAUGUAGCUUGUCUCAAUCUAUGCUGGCUUAAUCUAAGGUAUUGUUCGCCCCUCAAAAGAAUGUGGAUUGGUUUCUGACCUCGAAACAAAUUAUAAUGUUUUGACUUAUCUCUUCAGCAACUGUUCCUCAUUGGAAGUUUUGAAGCUAGAGUGUCCGAGAUUGACCAAUCUAUUCCUUCAGGUUAUUAUUCUUAUCUGCCAAUUUAAAUUUAUCCACACACAUCAUAAUUGUUGUUUCUUGCAAACAUAUCACACUUAGGAAAUGGUUCCCAGUUCCAACCUAAUAGAGAUUGAGACUUGCAUGGUUAAUGAUUUAGUGAGACUCAACGAGUGAAUUUUACCAAAUAGGAGUGUCUGUGUGUGUUGGAAAGAAUGCGUGAAGAUCGAAUUGCUAGCAUUGCCUUCACUGCAUUACAAUUUAGAAUUCACAACUGUCGGAAAGAAUGUGUUAAGAUUUUAUUGCUAGCAUUGCUUUUUUCUGCAUUACAUUUUAUAGCGCUGUCAUUGGCUAUCAUUAUCUUUUUAGAAAAUUAUACGGUAGUGUUUUUGUCCCAAUCUUUUGGCUGGUUUAUCCCUCUCCUUUUUAAGAAUGGGCUGCAUACAUUUUUCUUAAAAAAAUGUUAGGGUAUGGGGUUGACCUCUGGUCCUUCACCUAAAAUAAAUGUGACAUUUGAUAUUCCUCAAAUCACUUGAGGAAUAUUUUUUUUUAAAAUUGUAAUGACUUAACUUCAGUCAUUCUUGCAACCCAUCCUUUGAUUCAUUGUUGUGUUAAUAGUUAUUUGCUUUCUAAUAUGUUUGUUCGCGUUUGGACAAUUUGGUUUUUUUAGGCGUGCAAUAUUGAUGAGGAGGCUGUUGAAGCUGCUAUAUCAAAAUGUACUAUGUUGGAGACUCUUGAUGUUCGCUUCUGUCCUAAGGUGAGAGCAAAUGCAUAUAAUAUUUUUGAAAUGUUGAUUUCGGCAAAUGAACCUUUAUUUUGCAUAUGAUUGUUGCAUGGGAUGUUCUUCAAUCAUUUAUGGGAUAUUUUAUGGUGCUUUGCAGAUAAGCUCAGCGAGUAUGGGAAAAUUUCGUGCAGCAUGUUCUGGUUUGAAGCGUAUAUACAGCAGCUUGUCAACUUCAUCAGCAUGAUUUAGAAUCUUUGAUGUUUUGUGGUGCUUGUUCACUCGGAGAGAAGGCACACUUGGCAAUAAAUCGGGUUAUUCCUAAUGUAUUGUAAAUUGUUAUCUUUUAUAUUGUUGUUUGUUUGGCAUAUAGAAAUGAGGUUAUCUUCAUGCAUUGCCACAAUAAGUUUUUGAUGUUUUUUACUUGUUGUAAAUUUUAUAUUUCAAUUUGUUGCUGCAUAUUGUAUUCUGAAAUGUUCUGAAGAAUAGGUGUUUGUUUGAUCCUUUUCAUAUACAUUUUAUGCUGUAAUAUUGACAUUUACAUUUUGAAGAAUAGAUGCUUGUUUGAACUUACAUUUUGCGAUGGUUGGACGAAUUGCAUUUGUAGUUUGAUACUGUCUGUUUCUUUACAUGAUUGCAUAUUUACAAUUAUAUAUUUUGAUGAAAUUUUAAUAUAUGCACAACAUCAAAUGGAACAUUCGACCUGCCAGUUAUUCCCUCAACUCUAAAGUUAGCUGACGUUAAAAUAUUAACCCAGCCAACAUUUUCAAAUCCACAUUCAUCUUUGAAUAAUGCCUUUAGCGUUCUACCUUAUCAUAGACAUGUCUAUCUGCACUUCUAUUGAGGUGGAAUUUUAUAAUGUUUGGAAAUAUUUAGUGUUUGAAAUGGUAUUAUCACUACAGAGAAGAAAUUAAUGUAUGAUUCCAUUUCAUUUACCUGACUACCAAAUGAAGAUAAAAUGUACUCCUUUCCUUAAUUUUCAGUAAAUUAUAUUAUUAAUCUGAAAUUCAAAUUUAAGUCAGUGCUCUCAUGGUCCUAAAUAAAGUCCUUUGCAUUACUUUAUAAUAAUACAACAAAAUUAAACCAAAUGUGUAAACUCAAGCUUUGAUUUAAAGGAUUAUUAUCGUACAACUGAUUUAAUUCUUUAGGAUCCUAUAUGUAAAACAAGAAACCUCAGUAGGAAAUGAAGCAGAAGAACAGAGGAUGGCAUUUUGAUGGAAUUGAAAGAGAGAAACUGCUGAUAGGUUUUCUGAGGAAUACCACUAACCGCUCUUUUAAUUCGCCAUUAAUUAUUUAUUUCUUCUUUUUAUAAAUGUCCCUCCAACAAGCCGGCCUUAGUUUUCUCUCUCUAGGUUUUCUUUUUCAGUGGUGGUUUUGGGUUAAUUCUUGAUCUGAAAUCACCCCCUUUUCAUCUUUCUCUCUCAAUUUCAAUCUAAAUAAGUGAUUUUCACAUAGAUCUAAGUUUUUUCUUUGUGAUUUCAUCAUCUAAGUGUGGUGGUUUGUUGUUCGUCGUCUUGUGCAGCGUUGUUUGAUUUCCCGUCUUCUUGCGGUGUUCUUUGAUUUAUAUUUGAAAGAUCGAUUAUUCAAUCAAAGAUUUGGGUGUCAACGUUGCAGAUCCAGAGGUCAUGUAUAUUUCGGUCACUAUAAUUUUAACAUAUAUUUUUGUAGGCAUUAUGCCGUUAUAUGCUAUUAACUUGGAUGUUGUGAGUUUGUUCGUUGAUUAUCCUUUAUGUUUUUAGCGGUGUUUAAUGAUGUAAUCUCUCGAUUUGAAUGAAUGAAUAUCAUUUUAUUUUUUUCAAAAAAAGAAAAGAAGAGCAUCGAAAUGUAACUUCUGAGAGAACUGUGAGUAACUUCCAUAAACAUAUAAUAAACGGUCCUUAAAUUAUUUUUAAUGCAAGUCCAUGAAAUAUUGCUUUCUUUUCUAUUUUAAAAGUAAUUAAGGGACUAACAUGUUAAAUUAAGUAUAAUUUAUGGACUAUUUGUUGCGGUAUUGUCUAAUGUGCACAAAUAAAUUACUAUUGCAUCAUGUACAAUUUUUUUUUUUUUGGGUACAAAUGUACAAGUUUUUUUUACUAUUAGAACAAUAAGUCUUAUCACAUCUCAUUUGAUCCAAUAAUGAAACUUGUUGAUAUACUCAUGAAAACAAAUUUAUGCAUGAUGUAAAACUUGUUUCAUUUAUGCACCAUACACUUGACCAUUUAUUUGUCGUAUAUUUAUAUGAAUUCUGCUCUUCCCCCUGCACUUUUCGCUCGCGCCCUGCAGUCUUGCCAAAAAUGCCCAUGCGUGAGUUAACUCACGCUGGUUUUCUUUCAAUAUUUACUUUGGCUACUUUUACUACUUUCACGCUUUCUCCAACCUCAGCAACAUAAUUCAAAAGUUUCAAUUCCAAACAAGACAUUUUUAUAUGGUUUCAGUUUCAACACCAUCAACUUCACCUAUUGGUAUGAAUGUUAGAAACAAUUCAGGAUUUAAAUGAAAAACUUGGUUCUUGCUCAAAUGGGAGAGAAACAAUUCUUGCUCAAAUGAAGACUUAGAAACAACUUCACCUAUUUUUAUAUAGUUUUGUGGCUCAAAUGGGAGAGAAACAAUUGUUUUUCCCAAAUUUGCUAUUGAUUUGUCCCGAAGUUGCAGACUAGCAAAAUUAAAACCUUCAUCUUAAAGUUAAUUUAAAUGGGAUGCAUAGGAUUAUGCGAGCUAGAGAAUUUCUCGUCUCUAGGUUAAGAAAAAGAAUAAUGCUAGCAACACUCUUUUCAACUCUCUCUUUUAUUGGUUUGAAUCAUUGUGGGUCUACACUUUGGAAAUUGAACCUACACAAAGUGGUGUGACAUAUAUUGAUUUAUUUAAUAGAAGAGUGAGUGCUAGAGAGAGUGUUGAAAAGUGAGUGUUGCUAGCAUUCUUCAAAAAAUAUUUCUCUCAUUUCUUUUAGCCAAAUUUGGUUCUUUUUGCAGUACACUAUUUUAUGUGCUACUACUUUCUCAGUUUUGGUUUUUAAUGAAGACUUGGUUCUUGCUCCAGUCUUUAUCUCCACACAUAUUUUGAAUGUCUAUUAUAUUGCUUUUGUUUUAUCGUAAUCACAUGUAAUUUUUUUAAUCGUGGAAUUAUUGAUAUUUCAAUGAUGAAUAUUCACUAGUCCAAGUUUUUCCUUUUGAUGUAGGAGUGGUUCUAAUUAGUUCAACCUUAGUGUUUACAAAUGUAAUGUCAUAUGUGUGUACGAUAUUAAAUAUCAAAAGAAUGAUUGAAAGAUGAAGUCUGAUAUUAGAUCUAUAAAUGUUAAACAAGAAAAGUAAUACAUUAAAAUGAUUUUGGUUCAAUUGCGAUUUGAAAAGAUAAUUGCUCUAAAUAGAUUUUACAAAUAUUUCUACCAAGAAAAUAUGAAGUUUAUUAGCUUAAAUACACAUUAUUGUACUUUCAAAGAAGACACUAAUUAGCUUAAAAAACAUUAGUUUAUCUUACAUUUAAAAUUCAACACUCUUAGCUUUCGGAAGAUUGAUCUUGUUUAUAACUAAUAUUUUAGUUAAUCGCAAAAAUGAGAGAAAAUUGGUAAUCAAUAAAGAGUUUAUAUGGUAGCAACAUUUUUUAUUACGUGAUAGAACCGUGCAUUUGAUGUGACUAUCAUUUUUUAAGCAAGUUGGUUUGGUAUCUUUGUAGAGGAAGUGAAUAAGUAUCCUACGAUGAAUAAAAAUCUAGUCUUCAAUUUUUUUUUUUAAAGGAGUCUUCAAAUGUUAUAAAUAAACUUUUACACAAGUGUACAAAUUAUAGAGGAUGAUUGAUCACUGAAAAUUAAUAGGAUUAACAUGUUCAACUAUAUUCUUCACAAACAACAGAAAAAUAAGUUCAUGAAUAUCUUACAACACACAAUGAGCAUGCAUGCAAGGUUUCUUUUUUUUAACAAACAAAAAUGGAUUAUAUUAAAGUGUUAUAUAGCAGUCCUUUUAGUAUAAGGUGUAUCGAAAAGACUACUAAAAAAAACAAGCAGUUCACAUAAAAUACAACAAGUGGUUAGUCAAUGCCUAAACACGACAAUGGACUCGAUGACUCCGCAUGCAAGGUUCUUACAUUACAAAGAUGCUUUACACUUCAAAACAAGAAAGAGAAGAAUAAGAAUGAAAACAAUACCACCAGAAGAACCACCAACUCUAUGAAUCCAAUUACGAUCAAACCUUGUGAAGCUCUUAUCCAAAAAAGCUGAUAAAGAUAUGACUAAAACCAAUACAAAAAGUAACAUUGGUAACCAUAAAGUAACACUAAUUGGUUGUUCAUCAUCUUCCAACUCACUCUCUGAUCUGUGAUCUAUGUAUAGAGGAGAAGCCACAGCUAGAACUACUAAGCUUAUGGCUGCUACUCUCUCAUAAGAUGAAAAUUUGUGACCCCUCCUACUAGCUUCAGGUUCCAUUCAGAAGAUUGAUUUAGAUGAAAAUUGUGUUGUUAAUUAAAAUGUAUGUAUAUAUGAUAUGAUAUGAUGGAAUUGCAACACAAAAAUGUUGAUAUGGUAAGUGGAAUAUUGCUUUUCAAAGUAUGCACUAACUAAAGAGCAUCGGAUUCUCACUAACUACUAUAUUCUCAUUCAUGUACUAAUGUGGGACCCGAAUAAAAAUGAAUAUCAAUGUGCGCAAUCUUUUUUAACCAUUUUCUUUUUUGAAAGAUAGAGAACAAUCAACAAAGAACUAGAAACUCCAGAACCAUCAGCAACUAACAAGUGAUUAAUCUAAGCUGGGGCUAGCAAGCUCGUAGAAAAUCAAGAAGAAUAAGCUAUCACAAAUCGUUAUUGGCCAAAGCAUAAGCGAAAUUCCAACGGCACUUGACCUUGUGAAAGGGGCUAUCCCACGAUAUGAUAAACCAAUGUUGGAAUCUCAACUAUGAGAAGUACUCUCAUUAAAGUCCGACACACCUCAAAUAGGAUUACAUCUAGCGAAUGAAACCUACGGAAAAAGGAAACAUCAACGCAAUGAUUUGCUUCACAAUAAUAAUGACAAAUUUUUACUUCUCAAUCCAUAUGUAAAAGCCUUUGAAUCUAUAACACCAACCAAAUAUUUCAAAUCCUUUUUAACUUUGAUCAUACUCCCUCCGUCCUAAAUUAUAAGCCAAAAAAAAAAAUCACACUUAUUAAGAAAAGUAAAACAUAAGAAUUUGAAGUAUAGUUUUGUGUUUUUUUUUGAAAAAGUUUUAUAGGAAUAUGUAAAAACAAUUUUUAUUGGCUAUAUAUUGGUUAUGGAAAAAAUGAAAGAGAGAGAAAAUUGAAUGAAAUUUGCAUUUAAUUUUAUGAGAAUAAACAAAAGUUUUACUUGGAAAAGAGAUUUAAAAAAAAAAAACAAGAUUAAAUAGGAUAAAAAUUUGUCUUUUUUGCUUAUAUUAUGGGACAGAGGGAGUAAUUGUUAUGCUCACAACAAAUCUGUUAGGUCAUGAGGGGAGCUCGGAGGACCGUCCACAUCGAGGCUAGAACAACCACACUAGUGAGAGAGACUCCACAUUCUUACCUAAAACCUUAAGGCAAUGGGUUUAUGAGUCCUCUUACUUAUAAGGUGUACAACCUUUACUUUUUUAUCCGAUGUGUGACAUAUAACUGACUCUUGCACACAACAAAAUCGUCCUUAAAUUACUCUGUUCUUUCUUAGCUAUAACACCUAGUCAACAUCCAAGUACGUACGAGAAAUCCUACCCACUAGAAAACAAGUGAAAGACACAAAUGUGGGACCAUAAAGUGUGCUGGCUUGAACUUAACCCAAAACCUACUUAAUUCUAAUUAACCACCCUAAUUACUACUUCGGUUCGAAAUUAUAAAUCGUUUUAAAAUAUCCGUUAAAUAUUAAUAUUACUUUUCCAAUUAUACUAUUAACUAUUUAUUACUUUAUCUUCUUUCAAUUCUUUUAUUUAUCUUUCUCAUAUCAUUAAUGAAGGAUAAUUUUGUAAAAUUACUUAUAAUUUUGUUUUCUUAUACAAAAUUAAUUACAUUUAUUAAUUUGCGUAAAAUAUCCAAAACAACUAAUAAUUUUGGACGGAGGAAGUACCUCACAAAUCAAGUAAAUGACCAAUAAAUUGAGCUAAAUGAAGCCGAUAACUCUUAUUUCUGAGUUAUGAGUGGUUAAUGAUCUCCCAAUUACUAAAUGAAUGAUAUACAAGAGAUGUGACUCAUAUACUUAAUACGUCAAUUUUUUUUAAAUUUUUUUUUUUAUGUUAUGUGUUGUUAAAAUCUCGUGGGAAACAAGUUGCUUAAUAAUAGUGGUGUCCAAAUGUUGAGAAACUUUUCUUCAACUCCAAAUAAUAUCCUUUUUAAACCAUUUAUUUAUUGAAACGUUUAAAACAACUUCACCCCACACUUGCAUGAAUAUGGUUCGCAAAAUGCAUUGUUUUGCUUCUGUGUAUAUACAUGAUAAAUUGAUUUCUCAAGCUGCACGAUCGUGAACAACUCAACAAAGACAUGCACUAUGUUGAUUCAAACAGCAUGGUCAUGCAUAUAAAUCGACAUCAACAUACUAUAUUCAAAGAGUUAAAAGAAAUUGAAAUCCAUUACAUUUAUUGAUCUUUACAUGAAAUUGAAAUCCAUGGAAGAUACUCAUUCAAACCACCCUUUUACACUAUAGAUUCUACCACAUCACACAAAUUCUUAUUCUAUCACACAACCCAGCUAAAUCCUUUCCAUUCCUCUCAACACAAAACACACAAAUGGAUGAUUUACUUGCAUUCCAUAUUUUUCAAUAACACAUUUUUUUCAAUGUAAAUCCCAAUAAAUUUUAUUACACGGGAAAGAUGAAGAUGGAAUUAGGGAUGAAUAUGGAUUUGAGGUAGAUGCAGAUGAACCCUAAUUGCACCAACUUAUAUUAGUGGCAUUUUGUUUCUAUUUUUUUAAUUUGUAAUUUUUAAGCUCGCAUUCACGUCUGUAUUUCAUUGGCCAAGUGUCCCUUUCAAACGACCAACUCACGAAAGGGACGAACUUACCUCAAUAUUGUUAAUGUUUUGGACCAACUUAAAAUAUUUAAAACAUAAGUCAGGAAAAAUUUAAAACACAAACGACCAAAAUAAAAUCUAAAAUAAACAUAAGAGACCAAAAAUACAAUAUUUUACUAUAUUAUCUAAAAUUUCAUUUUAACAUUUACAUUCUAUAUCUUUAAAUAAAAUAUGAGGAGACGACGCAGCAAGUGAGGAAAAAUUCAACACAUCUCUAUUUCCAUGUAUUUUUAGAACUUGGUAUCGACUUACUUAACGCGUGAUGGAGCUAUAUGAGAUGAGCAAAAAAGACUUGCUCUAUGUUUUCAUUGAUUUAAAGAAUGCGUAUGAUAUAUUGUAUGGAAAGCCCUAGAGAAGAAAGGAGUAAGGAUUACUUAUAUUUGAGCUAUCAAGGACAUCUACUAGGAGGCUUCAACUAGUGUGAGGACGCACGAUGAGGUCACCAACGAUUUUCCCGUAACAAUAUGAUUGCAUCAAGGAUCAACCUUAGUCCAUAUCUUUUUACCUUAGUUUUGGAUGUACUUAUAGAACACGAGCUAGGAUCGAGAUGUAUGUUUUUUGAAAAUGAUGCAGUUCUACUUGGAGCAUUGAAGGAGGUUGGAGAUAAGCUUUAAAAACACACAACUUCUGUUUUAGAGGUAAAAAUUGGAGAUUAUAUCAUUUCACAAAUUACACAAUUUAAAUAUCAUGGGUCCAUAAUAUAAAACGAUGGAGAAAUAGAAGCAAAUAUAAUUCAUCAAAUUCAAUAUGGGUGCUUGAAAUUAAUGAGUUGAACCGAAAUAUGGUUUAUGAUUAAACAUGGUAACAUAAGCCGACCCCAUUUAAUACGAAAAUGUUUGAUUCGGUAUCUAGUCCAUGAACCGACAUAUCGGGGUUCAAUCUCAUCGAUCAUUUGCCGGACCCAUUUAAAGUUAAAAGAAGAACAUGAGAAGAGGGAGUAUAAUUUUGCUCGAAGCUACACAGUGUGUAUAUGGAAGGAAAGAGCAAUAAUAUUUGGGAGAACACUUGCAAAGCAAUAAUUUUUCUCCUAUAUGCAUGCAAAGGUUCGUACAUGGGUUGAUGUGAGUUUUUGACCUCGACAUAGGCACAUAGCAGUGUAGGUUCAAUCAAACUAAGAUAGCGCCUAAGAUAAUGGUGAUUUAUGAAGCAGCCCAAAUGGCAUUACAUAUAGUAAGAGAUGAUGAAACAAUCCUUCUUUGUGACAUUUACAUGUUUUUUUUUUUUAAAUGAAUUUAGUGUGUUUUGAUAUCAAAGUCUUUUUUUUUCUAAGAUUUUUCUAUAACUUUAAAUUUCUGUACUUGUGAAAUUUAGGUUUUCUCGUAUCUGGAUCAGACCAAUCUCUGCAGAGCUGCUAGAGUUUCUAAGCAGUGGCGAACCGUUAGUACUCAUGAAGAUUUCUGGAUGAAUUUGAAUUUUGAAAAUCGGAACAUAUCUGAAGAACAAUGUGAGCUUGAGUAUAUGUUGUAUUCUUUAUAAAAGUUUUUAGUUUUAUAAAUGUGCUUAUUUAAAGUUUUAUGUAUAAUCACAGUUGUGAGCAUGUGUAGGCGUUAUCCGAAUGCUACAUCAUUGAGCAUAUCAGGACCUACUAUUGAUUUGCUGGUCAUGAAGGCAAUGUCUUUGCUAAGGUAGGUAUUUUGUGUGACAUUGCACUGAAUCAAGUCAUGUUGGAUUCUGGCUGAUUUGUUUCAUUAUUUUCAGGAAGCUCGAGGUUUUAACAUUAGGAAGAGGACAAAUAGGGGAUGCUUUUUUUGUUGUUCUACCUGAUUGUUCCAUGUUGAGAGAAUUGUAUAUCGAUGAUUCUACACUUGGAAAUAGUAUUCCGGAGAUAUCUGUUGUUCAUGAGAGAUUGUGUCAUCUUGAAUUAAUAAAAUGUCGUGGGACGCGAAUACAAGUCAGGUGAAUAUGCCUCAAAGUUUGACUGACACCUCCGAUGAUAAAAUAAAAAGUGAUGGUUUAUUCAUUUUUCAGGUGCCCACAACUUAAAACUAUGUCUUUGAAGAGCAGUAACAUGGCACAGGUUGUACUUGAUUGCCCUCUUCUACAUGAACUUGAUAUUGGUUCUUGCAACAAACUUCCUGAUGCUGUUAUUCGUGCUGUUGCAACUUCAUGCCCUCAACUGGUGAAGCUGGACAUGCGUAACUGUUCUUGUGUCAGCGAUGAAACCCUGCGUGAAAUAGCGCAGCAUUGUCCUAAUCUUGGUUUUCUUGAUUCAUCAUACUGCCCAAGCAUAUCUUUGGAGGUGUGCUUCAAAUUGUAUACUCGCUUUUUUGCAUAUGUAAGCUUGUAUUUUGAACUAAAGUAUAUGGCUUUUCUCUUUUAAGUCGGUUCGGAUGACAAUGUUGACAAUUCUAAGGCUUCAUAGCUGCGAGGGCAUCACUUCUGCAUCAAUGGCUGCUAUAGCUCAUAGCUCUAUGUUGGAGGUAUUUUAUCUGUCCCAGAUAUUGAUAUUAAUGACAUGUCUGAAUUCAUGAGUAUUACGAUUAAUACAUUUAACCACCCCGCCAAUGCAGGUUUUGUAACUCCGCAGUUGCAGUCUAUUGACUUGAGCGUCGUUGGAUCUUCCACAUUUGAAGAAUAUUAGAUUGGCGUACUGUCGCAAGUAUGUUUCUGCUUCAUUUUCUCUCUCCCCAGAAAAGCACUAUAAUUCUAUUAUUGAUCCGUCUCUCUCUAUUGCUUUUCACUUUCUGUUUAAGUCAAUACCAAAUCCUUUUUUCUAUUGUUGCGCCUAAUUUAUUUUUUUGAAUGGUUUCCUUUGCAGAUUAGCAGAUUUGAACUUGAGGGCUAUAUCGCUUUCUUCUAUACAAGUGUCUGACUGCUCUGUACUUCACCGGAUCAAUAUCACUUCAAAUUCACUUCAAGUAUGUGUUAUACACUUAUACUUAUGUCUUGUUUCAUUCCCCAUUCUCAUAUAUUCUAGAGUAUAUGCAGACAUUAGCACUGCAAAAGCAGGAUAGCUUAACUUCAUUAGCAUUGCAAUGCCAAUCUUUCCAAGAAGUGGAUCUCUCUGAGUGUGAAUCUUUGACAAAUUCUAUAUGUGAUGUUUUUGGUGAUGGUGGAGGAUGUCCUAUGUUGAAAUCACUAGUUCUGGAUUAUUGUGAGGUACAUGAACAAAUAUUUCUUUUGAAUUUCUGGAUUUAUUUUCCAAAAUUUGAUUAUUCAUGAGCUAUGUUAGUAUAGUAGUAUAUUCUGACAAUUCAAAUAAGUGUUUUCCUACUCUUGAUCCCUUUUACACAAUUCUAAUUGUUUUUUAUAUAAUCAACUAAUCCAGCUGUACCAUAACUUAUUGAUUGAAGUUUUGCUUGUGAUUUUUAUAAUACUGAUGUACUUUUUUUGUAUGUCAUAUUGAUGAAGUUUAUGAAAGGGUAUUCUUGGUAUUCUCACAAAAUCAGUUUAAAGAACUACUGAAAUUUGUGACUUUAGUUGAAAUAAUUGCAUGAAUCAUUAUUAGUUGUUACUAUCAGUGUUUAGCGGUAGAUGAUCCUUGGGAUAAUGUCUCAACUUUUCUGGCUGUUGUAUCUGUGAGAGAUUAGGUUUCUUUUCAUUCCUGGGAUUUUGUUGGUCAAAUGAUCUAUACUUGUAUGGAUGUUAACAUUCUUUAGCCUGCUUGUUGUUCGCUGCAUGUAGAGCCUGACUUCAGUUCGCUUCAUCAGCACCUCGAUAAUCAGUCUUUCUCUAGGCGGUUGUCGAGCAAUCACUACUCUUGAGCUAACCUGCCCUAAUCUUGAGAAGGUCAUUUUGGACAGCUGUGAUCAUUUGGAAUAUGCAUCAUUUUGCCCUGUAAGUGACAUUGAUUUAUUAUACAAUUUAUACUUGAUUUUUGUGAGAUGAGUUUUUUUAUUUCUUGCCUUUUUUGUGCACUUCGAUUUUUAUCAGCUGUAAUUUUUUAUUUCUUCUUUCCUUUUGAGUUGAUCAUGUGUUGAACUAUGUGAAAUAAGAACUACAGAAUAAUAGUAUAACAUCUUUUGCUUGUAUUUAUUUAGCUAUCUGCAUGGUUUAAGUAAUAGUUUUAUACAUUUGCAGUCCAAGAGGUUGCUGUUAUGUUAAGGCUUUGUAAUUGGGACCACAGUUAUUAUCAGUGUAUUAAGAUACCUUGAAGUCAUAUCUUGAUUUUGAAUAAAUCAUGAAUCGUAGUAAAUAUUUGGAUAAUAUUCGGAAAAUAGGUCUUCCGAUUCAUGAUUUGAAUCUCGAUCUGAAAGCUAAGCAACUCCCUUUUUUCAUCUACUUCUCAGCUUGCUCUUCGAUCUCUCAAUUUAGGAAUAUGCCCAAAAUUAAACAUACUCCGCAUUGAAGCAACGUUAAUGGUCUCCAUUGAGUUGAAAGGAUGUGACGGACUGUCUGAAGCAUCCCUUAAUUGUCCUCUCUUGACAUCUCUGGAUGCUUCCUUUUGCAGGUGAUGCUUUAUUUGCUAGUUUCUUGGCUAUCCUGCUUGCGUAUGGAGUAUGGACUGAUGUUUGUUGUUUUGAAUUAUAGUCAACUCAAUGAUGACUGCUUGUCUGCAACAACCCGUGCCUGUCGACUAAUUGAGUCAUUAAUAUUAAUGUCAUGCCCAUCGAUUGGGUUAGAUGGACCCUGCUCCUUGUAUUGGCUCCCAAAUUUAACCCUGCUUGAUUUAUCAUACACUUUCUUGGUGACUCUGCAGCCUGUUUUUGACUCUUGUAAACAACUAAAGGUAAAAAACAUUAUAUUUUAGUUUACAUAUUUUUUACUGUCUUGCAAAUUACAAAUAGUAUAAUAGUAGUGAAGAACCGCUCCUCCCAUCCUCAAAACAAAUCUCCAGAAGUGGUGGUUAUUUAGUUUGAUAAACCUAGCGAAGUUGUGAUGUUAUACUACCAUACACACAGAAGUUGUUCAGAAGAGCUUAUUUGUGUCUAUCUCGUGUUUAAAUACUUAUAUUAUUAAUGUUUUUGGAUUUAAAAAAAAAAACAUUUAUUUCAUUUUUCAUCGUUUCCUGCUUCUGCAACAAUGAAGACGCAGAAAUUGGCUGGAAAAUGGAGAUAGAAGGGGACUGAAAAGAGAGAGGAAAAAGUGGGCAAAACUCCUAACAUUAUUUUGUUUAAUGAGUUACUCAUUCCUUGGUCCACAGGUUAUGGAAUGAUGUAUAACAUUUGUAUAAUUAUUUUCUUUGCCUUUUUCUGACGGUGACAUUCUUGUUUCUUGAAGGUUUUAAAGUUGCAGGCAUGCAAAUAUCUCAUCGACUCAUCGCUUGAACCUCUUUACAAGGGGGGUGUUUUACCAACUCUUCAGGAGUUGGACUUGUCUUAUGGAACUUUGUGUCAGCAAGCCAUAGAAGAGCUUCUUUCUUGCUGCAGUCACCUUGCACAUGUGAAUUUGAAUGGCUGUGUGAACAUGCAUGAUUUAAACUGGGGGCAAAGUCGAGGAACUUUUCCUGAGUUACCUGGCAUAAGCAUCCUAUCCAUCGCAAGUUCCUACGAAAACAACCAUGUGUCAAGUGAGUGACCCACCCGAUUACUUCAGAACCUCAACUGCGUGGGUUGUCAAAAUAUUAGGAAGGUUUUCAUUCCAUCAACAGCACACUGUUCCCAUUUAUUGUUUUUAAACCUUUCUCGGUCAUCUAAUUUGAAGGAGGUUGAUGU
rnacentral:lncRNA from 1 species